AUCCAGCUGACGAGUCCCAAAUAGGACCGAACGCGCGUCCUGGAU
rfam:Schistosoma rodhaini strain Burundi genome assembly, scaffold: SROB_scaffold0002084